UAAUGCAUUUUGGAAAGAGAGCUCAUCCCUCCCGCCUCUAUUUUGGAGCUGCUAAAACAGCAAAUCUUAAAUAACUUGUCUGAGUUUCAGGACCUGAGAGAGGAGAGAAGGCUGUGCAUUUCCACGGAGCAUGGGACGAUCUCAGCACACCGGGGGCCAAGUGUUAUUACCCUUCGUGCUAGAGAGGGGGAAAGUGACCACAAGAAGAUGGGCUGCUCUGGCCGCUAGAAACCAAACCUACCGAACGAGACACAGAGACAAAGACGACGACGACGGCAACGGGAGUUGGCACUCGGACUGUGUGGGUUACGGCUUUCUCUUGCCUAGCGCAGAAAUUUCUACCCCUCCCUCAAAUGGAAAUCAAAGUCUUAGGCUUGACCUUGGGUGACCUUGCAUAUGCCGGGAGAAAAAUGCGAAACGGCGUCUGUCCUCAUUUUGUCUGUAAGGGUAAGAGAGUCUUAAACAGAAAAGCAAUAAAUACAUCAUCUCACUAUGUCUACUCUUUUCAAGUAUCACUUGCUGUAAACAUUGGGUUUUUGUGUGUGUGUUUCAACCGCAAGAAAUCACAUUGCAGCUGGAACAGAAUAGCACUAGCCGGCCAGCACUCCAAGCAACUAAGAAAGCUCCAGCCCAGCUCUGCUUGACUGGGAAAGGUCAGCCAAUUGGUUUAGCUCAAAUUGCACCUGCAGAAACCUACAAUGCACCAAUUUCAGUUUAAACCACACACGACUUCCUUCGUUUCACGCGCCACAAAAGGCAGAACAUUCCUUAGGAACCCGAAUGUCAAGCAAACAAAGAUCCCGCUGAAUGGUGGCACCUGGCUGGAGCUUUGUGUUGAAACAGCAUGGAAAUAAAAGAGGGGAAAGUUUAGAAUCAGAUCCUUCCUCCUUCAGCGGUAAGUGGGAUUUAAAAAAAAUAGAUAUAUCGACACUAUA